rnacentral:rRNA from 1 species
UCGCCUCUUGCUCUCCUAUAAGAGGUCCAGCCUGCCCAGUGACUUAGUUCAACGGCCGCGGUACCCUAACCGUGCGAAGGUAGCGUAAUCACUUGUCUUCUAAAUAGAGACUAGUAUGAAAGGCAUCACGAGAAUUUAACUGUCUCCUUUUUCCAAUCAGUGAAACUAAUCUUCCCGUGAAGAAGCGGGAAUCCAAAAAUAAGACGAGAAGACCCUAUGGAGCUUUAAACACUAACCACCUGCCCAAUCUUAUAAAAACCCCGGUUCCUAAACCAACGCAUCAUGACUACGUGUUUUUGAUUGGGGCGACCACGGAAAAUAAUCAAACCUCCGUAAUGAAAACCUACAAGCCACAGCUUUAAGUAUCAACAAAUUGACAUCCAUUGACCCAAUAUAUUGACUAAUGAACCAA